rnacentral:rRNA from 1 species
GAUGAACGCUGGCGGCGUGCCUAAUACAUGCAAGUCGAGCGAAGCGGGGACGGGUGAGUAAAACGUGGAGGACUUCCUAUGAGACUGGGAUAACUGCGGGAAACCGGAGGUUAACCGGCUACUUAUAGUAGGAUCCGGGUUGCAUUAGCUAGUUGGUAAGGUAACGGCGUACCAAGGCAACGAUGCAUAGCCGACCUGAGAGGGUGAUCGGCCACACUGGAACUGAGACACGGUCCAGACUCCUACGUGAGGCAGCAGUAGGGAAUCUUCGACAAUGGGCGAAAGCCUGACGGAGCAACGCCGCGUGAGUGAAGAAGGUCUUCGGAUCGUAAAGCUCUGUUAUUAGGGAAGCGGUACCAAAACAGAAAGCCACGGCUAACUACGUGCCAGCCGCCGCGGUAAUAC